UACGUAGGGGGCUAGCGUUGUCCGGAUUUAUUGGGCGUAAAGAGCGUGUAGGCGGCCAUGCAGGUCAGCUGUGAAAACUCGAGGCUCAACCUCGAGACGUCGGUUGAAACCGCAUGGCUAGAGUCCGGAAGAGGAGAGUGGAAUUCCCGGUGUAGCGGUGAAAUGCGCAGAUAUCGGGAAGAACACCUAUGGCGAAGGCAGCUCUCUGGGACGGUACUGACGCUGAGACGCGAAAGCGUGGGGAGCAAACAGG
rnacentral:rRNA from 1 species